AUGGUGCAGAAUCCCUCUUCUCCAUUUUUGCCUCUAGGAGGUGCUGAAGAGUUUCUCCAAGACCAUCUUACCCAGGUGGACAUGGAGAAGGAACUUCAGACCUUAUUUGGCCAAAAUUUCAGACCACACCAAAGGGAACCUAGACGCAAAGGACCAGCGCUUCUGCCACAGGUGGUUAGGAUGGAGGUGGUGAAGCAUCCACCUUUUGUUCUUCCACAAUUGCUUAGUAUUUGCCAGGUCCUCUGCUCUUCUUCCUCUUGUUUUGGAGUUGAUGUCACCUAACUAAAGAGUCUGCCUUGAGGACUUCUUCUACCCUUCCUGUCUCCAGCCUUGGUUUUGGACACCGUAGUUCCAUAAAACUAUAUCCACCACCUCUUGCCCAAACUCAAUCCUGUGGCAUGUUGUCUGUGCUUGUGUCUUGUCCUAGCUCAUGGGGCUCUUCCUUCCCUUUCCAUUCCAGACAGUGAUUAAAGCAAAGGCAUGGAAGGAGGAGACUAGCUGAGGUCCAUGGGGGCAGGAAUGAAGAUGUGAGUUAGUUAGCAAGAAACUGCGGUCUACACACCCACCCCUUUCUCCCCCCAAAGUCCUUCCACUCAUGAAACUGUCUGUUUUGAAAUAAGAACUGCAAAUAUGAUUGUGAAAAAUUGUUGUCACUUAAUUACAUUGUUUGAUGGAGAGAUGUUUUUAUGUCCAGAACUCAAUUGGUGAAAAAAAGUUUAAAGAUGCAAAAACUUAUUUUCCACAAUGAAAUAAACUGGUCCUUUUCAAACA
rnacentral:lncRNA from 1 species